rnacentral:rRNA from 1 species
UACGUAGGGGGCAAGCGUUGUCCGGAAUUAUUGGGCGUAAAGAGCGUGUAGGCGGUCCGGUAAGUCAGCUGUGAAAGUCAAGGGCUCAACCCUCGAAAGCCGGUUGAUACUGUCGGGCUAGAGUCCGGAAGAGGCGAGUGGAAUUCCUGGUGUAGCGGUGAAAUGCGCAGAUAUCAGGAGGAACACCGGUGGCGAAGGCGGGUCUCUGGGCCGAUACUGACGCUGAGGAGCGAAAGCGUGGGGAGCAAACAGG